rnacentral:sRNA from 1 species
GAAGCAACGCCGCGUGAACGACGAAGUUACUUUGGUAUGUAAAGUUCUUUUAUCAAGGAAGAAAAGCAAGUGGUGAACCAUUUGUUUGCCGGUACUUGAUGAAUAAGCCCCGGCUAAUUAUGUGCCAGCAGCCGCGGUAAGACAUAAGGGGCAAGUGUUAUCCGGAAUUAUUGGGCGUAAAGGGUGCGUAGGCCGUUCUAGUAAGUCCAAUGGUGUUAAUGCAAUUUGAUAAAGACUUUCAGAGCUAUUGAAUCUAGUAUACAUGAGUUUGAUAGAGUUGACAGGAAUUACAUGAGUAUCGUUAAUAUGCGUAAAUAUAUCGAGGAACACCACAGGGGUAGGGUGCUUUAUGGGUGUUAAGUCACGAUGAGGCGGGAAGCAGUCGAGGAGCAAACACCGAUUAUAUUCCCCUGCUAUUACCACACGUGUAAACGAAUGAGUAGGUAAGUGUCGUCGUUAAACCGUGUACAUGAUAGUUAACGUCAUUAACUACUCCUGCGUGAGUACGUACGUCCGCAAUGUAUGCUAACUUAAAGGAAUUGACGGGCCUCCCCACAAGCGGUGCAUCAUGUUAUUUAAUUGGAAGAUACCCGACAAACCCUACCAGGUCCUUACAUGUUUCUGCGAAACAGUUGUAAUUUCCUCGAAGUUAUCAGAAACCCCGGUGGUGCCUGGUCGUUGUUAGCUUGUGUUGUGAGAUGUUAGGUUAAGUCCUAAAACGAGGGACACCCUUAUCGUUAGUUGCCCACCCGUUAUGGUGGGGCCUUUAAGGAGACUGCCAGUGAUAAAUCGGAGGAAGGUGGGGAUCACGUCAAAUCAGCAUGCCCCUUAUGACCUGGGUCUACAAACGUGAUACAAUGGCUGGUACAAAGGGUAGCCAGAACGCAAGUUCCAGGCCAAUCCCCAAAACCAGUCUCAGUUCGGAUUGAAGUCUGCAACUCGCCUUCAUGAAGUUGAAUCGCUAGUAUCGCGAAUCAAGCAGUNCGCGGGAAUCAUGGCC